GAACGCUAGCGGCAGGCCUAAUACAUGCAAGUCGAACGAGAAGUUGUCUUUCGGGGCAACGGAAAGUGGCGCACGGGUGCGUAACGCGUAUGCAACCUACCCUCAACAGGGGGAUAGCCCGGAGAAAUCCGGAUUAAUACCCCGUAGUAUCCCGAUAACACAUGUUAUCGGGAUUAAAGAUUUAUCGGUUGGGGAUGGGCAUGCGUGACAUUAGCUGGUUGGUGGGGUAACGGCCCACCAAGGCGAUGAUGUCUAGGGGUUCUGAGAGGAUGAUCCCCCACACUGGUACUGAGA
rnacentral:rRNA from 1 species